ACUUACGGCCAUAUCACGUUGAAAACACUGGUUCUCGUCCGAUCACCGAAGUUAAGCAACACCGAGCCUAGUUAGUACUUAGAUGGGUGACCGCUUGGGAAACCUAGCUGCUGUAAGCA
rnacentral:rRNA from 1 species